rnacentral:rRNA from 1 species
GUCUACAGCCAUACCACCCUGAAGUCACCCAACAGCCUCUGAUCUUGGAAGCUAAGCAGAGUUGGGCCAGGGGUAGUACCUGGAUGGGAGCCAGUAUCCAGAACCUGGAAUAGAGC